UUUUCAUAUGCCUGUUUGUCAUGUGACAUUUCUUUUGAGAAAUGUCUAUUCAGAUCUUUUGCCCAUCUUUAAGCAGAUUAUUAGAUUUAUUCCAAUAGAGUUGUUUUGAAAAUAUUUGCAA